rnacentral:rRNA from 1 species
AUUGAACGCUGGCGGCAGGCCUAACACAUGCAAGUCGAACGGUAACAGGAAGAAGCUUGCUUCUUUGCUGACGAGUGGCGGACGGGUGAGUAAUGUCUGGGAAACUGCCUGAUGGAGGGGGAUAACUACUGGAAACGGUAGCUAAUACCGCAUAACGUCGCAAGACCAAAGAGGGGGACCUUCGGGCCUCUUGUCAUCGGAUGUGCCCAGAUGGGAUUGGCUAGUAGGUGGGGUAACGAUUCACCUAGGCGACGAUCCCUAGCUGGUCUGAGAGGAUGACCAGCCACACUGGAACUGAGACACGGUCCAGACUCCUACGGGAGGCAGCAGUGGGGAAUAUUGCACAAUGGGCGCAAGCCUGAUGCAGCCAGGCCGCGUGUAUGAAGAAGGCCUUCGGGUUGUAAAGUACUUUCAGCGGGGAGGAAGGGAGUAAAGUUAAGACCUUGGCUCAUUGACGUUACCCGCAGAAGAAGCACCGGCUAACUCCGUG